rnacentral:ncRNA from 2 species
UUUUCACACUAGGGGAGCUAUGGUAAAUAGCUGAGAUGAACAUCGGACCGUUUAGACCCUUUGUACUCGAACAGGAUAAUGCCUGCGUGAGGAAGUGUGGUCAAUAGGCA